rnacentral:rRNA from 1 species
AGAGUUUGAUCCUGGCUCAGAUUGAACGCUGGCGGCAGGCUUAACACAUGCAAGUCGAGCGGUAGCACAGGGGAGCUUGCUCCCCGGGUGACGAGCGGCGGACGGGUGAGUAAUGUCUGGGAAACUGCCUGAUGGAGGGGGAUAACUACUGGAAACGGUAGCUAAUACCGCAUAACGUCGCAAGACCAAAGAGGGGGACCUUCGGGCCUCUUGCCAUCAGAUGUGCCCAGAUGGGAUUAGCUAGUAGGUGGGGUAAUGGCUCACCUAGGCGACGAUCCCUAGCUGGUCUGAGAGGAUGACCAGCCACACUGGAACUGAGACACGGUCCAGACUCCUACGGGAGGCAGCAGUGGGGAAUAUUGCACAAUGGGCGCAAGCCUGAUGCAGCCAUGCCGCGUGUGUGAAGAAGGCCUUCGGGUUGUAAAGCACUUUCAGCGAGGAGGAAAGGUGGUGAACUUAAUACGUUCAUCAA